GACGAACGCUGGCGGCGUGCCUAACACAUGCAAGUCGAGCGAGUGGAUCUCCUUCGGGAGUGAAGCUAGCGGCGGACGGGUGAGUAACACGUGGGCAACCUGCCUCAUAGAGGGGAAUAGCCUUUCGAAAGGAAGAUUAAUACCGCAUAAGAUUGUAGCUUCGCAUGAAGUAGCAAUUAAAGGAGCAAUCCGCUAUGAGAUGGGCCCGCGGCGCAUUAGCUAGUUGGUGAGGUAACGGCUCACCAAGGCGACGAUGCGUAGCCGACCUGAGAGGGUGAUCGGCCACAUUGGGACUGAGACACGGCCCAGACUCCUACGGGAGGCAGCAGUGGGGAAUAUUGCACAAUGGGGGAAACCCUGAUGCAGCAACGCCGCGUGAGUGAUGACGGCCUUCGGGUCGUAAAGCUCUGUCCUCAAGGAAGAUAAUGACGGUACUUGAGGAGGAAGCCCCGGCUAACUACGUGCCAGCAGCCGCCGUAA
rnacentral:rRNA from 1 species